UNUUACCAGAAAGGGACGGCUAANUACGUGCCAGCAGCCGCGGUAAUACGUAGNUCCCGAGCGUUGUCCGGAUUUAUUGGGCGUAAAGCGAGCGCAGGCGGUUAGAUAAGUNUGAAGUUAAAGGCUGUGGCUUAACCAUAGUACGCUUUGGAAACUGUUUAACUUGAGUGCAGAAGGGGAGAGUGGAAUUCCAUGUGUAGCGGUGAAAUGCGUAGAUAUAUGGAGGAACACCGGUGGCGAAAGCGGCUCUCUGGUCUGUAACUGACGCUGAGGCUCGAAAGCGUGGGGAGCGAACAGGAUUAGAUACCCUGGUAGUCCACGCCGUAAACGAUGAGUGCUAGGUGUUAGGCCCUUUCCGGGGCUUAGUGCCGCAGCUAACGCAUUAAGCACUCCGCCUGGGGAGUACGACCGCAAGGUUGAAACUCAAAGGAAUUGACGGGGGCCCGCACAAGCGGUGGAGCAUGUGGUUUAAUUCGAAGCAACGCGAAGAACCUUACCAGGUCUUGACAUCCCGAUGCCCGCUCUAGAGAUAGAGUUUUACUUCGGUACAUCGGUGACAGGUGGUGCAUGGUUGUCGUCAGCUCGUGUCGUGAGAUGUUGGGUUAAGUCCCGCAACGAGCGCAACCCUUAUUGUUAGUUGCCAUCAUUCAGUUGGGCACUCUAGCGAGACUGCCGGUAAUAAACCGGAGGAAGGUGGGGAUGACGUCAAAUCAUCAUGCCCCUUAUGACCUGGGCUACACACGUGCUACAAUGGCUGGUACAACGAGUCGCAAGUCGGUGACGGCAAGCUAAUCUCUUAAAGCCAGUCUCAGUUCGGAUUGUAGGCUGCAACUCGCCUACAUGAAGUCGGAAUCGCUAGUAAUCGCGGAUCAGCACGCCGCGGUGAAUACGUUCCCGGGCCUUGUACACACCGCCCGUCACACCACGAGAGUUUGUAACACCCGAAGUCGGUGAGGUAACCUUUU
rnacentral:rRNA from 1 species